rnacentral:lncRNA from 1 species
GAUGAACCGUUGAAAUCUACUAAACCUAAAACUAUUCUUAAUCUGUAAUAAACAUCAAAGUACUUGACCUUAUUAAAUAGGAUUGACUAUAAAAACAAAACGAUUCCAUUAACUAAUCAAACUCAUAAACGAGAUACAAAGACAUUCGAAUUACGUUUUUUUGGCAUACAUUGAAUAACUCUAUGACACAUGAGAGGUGUGCCAAAUCUAAGUUACCCACACAGAACCAAAAAACACAAAUUCUAACAUCUAAGCUUUCUUUGGAGAUUUCCUGGCCUUUGAUGGAGACUUGGGAGUUGUAGAAGCACUUUGAGUCUUCUUAGGCAAAAGCACAGGGUUAAUGUUAGGAAGAACACCACCAUGAGCAAUGGAACACCAGGCAGCAAAUUUCUCAACUCUUCAUCAUUCCUCACAGCCAACAACAUGUCUUUGGACUACUGUUCUUCUUGUUAUCACGUGCCGCAUUUCCAGCCAACUCAAGAACCUUCACGCAAACAAAUUUCAAAAUUAGGGUUCAGAUUCAAUUUACAAAGUUCAAACUCCAGUAGCAGUGAAAAAAUGAAACUGAAGAUUGAAAGAGGAGUUAAUUAACCUCAGCAGCAAGAUACUCGAGAACAGCGGCUAGGUAAACAGGAGCACCGGUACCAACACGCUGAGCAUAUCUACCUUUCUUCAAGAAACGGCCGAUUCUUCCGACGGGAAAUUGAAGUCCAGCUUUGACGGAUCUUGUGACAGACUUCUUCCUUGGUCCUCCUCCUUUCCUUCCAGCAGCUCCAACCAUUUUGAAAUUCAAAAACUAGAUUCAAGCUGUUGAUUCGCUUUGUUGGUAAGAAAUGCUGCGAAUUGAAGAUGGUGAGAUAAAAUUGAAUUAGGUGUUGGUUAGGUUUUAUAGUUCCCCGGUAACUAUAAGGAUGUUGCUCUGAAAAACAACUCCACCGUUAGAUUAAUGGCUCGCCCUCACUGACGUGGCGAUCCGUGUCUCUUAAAACUGACCAAUGAGGACUGAUUAGGCGGUCCCCGCUUUUUUUAUUGAAGUUGCCUUUUUGUAAUUUUGUUUUAUUUUUGUAUAGUAAACUAGAGUAGAUUCUUGUAAUGUGUAAUCCAAUUUCUUUUGGAUGCAAAAGUCGCAUCUAGAUAUAAAUCACAUUUUAUUUUAGUUUCUCUAUAUGCAACUUUUGUUAUUUUGAAAAUAACUUUUUUAUGUAUUAUUUUAUUCAAUUUUUAAUAAUUGACAUUAAUAAUAACUAGAUAUCCGUCGGUGCGAUGCACGGAUAUAUUUCUUUAAGGAUCCAUCAUUUAAUUUUAUAAGUAUUAUUUGAAAAUAUUUGACCAAUUUAAAGUGGGCAUUCUCAAUUUGAUAAUCAUUUGUUUACAGUUUUAUCUUGCUAAAAUAGAUUUUCAUACGCAAUCAUCAACUAUAAAAAAUUUCAACUUAACUUUCUUAUUGUACGCUUUUGUUAUUCGUUAUUUUUGUCUUAUGAGAAUAUCCAAGGCAACUAAUAUUUCCUUGUCUAAAUCAACUAAUUCAUCCGAAAUCAUAUUCCAAUAAUGGUCAGAUGAAAUUUCAACUUGUCUUUGAAUUCAAUUUGAUUGUAAGUAAAUCUCGAUAGGCAAAACUGCGUCAUGACCAAACGUGAGUCAAAGUGGAGUAGAGUUAAUUGCCUCUUUAGGGGAAUUUAGACAAGUCCAUAAUACUUGGUCUAAAUUCUUAUGCCAAUUUCAUGGCUUCUAACCUACAGGUCUUUUAAUCAAGCUUAUUUUAAUUUUAUUGGUUACCUCGACAUGGCCAUUCGUUUAAGCAUAAUAGGGAGUAGAUGUUAAAAGUUUGAUUUCUCAAUAUGAAGCAAACUUGACCAUCUUUUGACCAGUAAAAAUUGUACAUUGGCCAGUGGUUAAAGUUUCAGGAAUUCUGAACCAGUAAAUGAUGUGGUUUUGAAUGAAAUUGAUUAUUGUUUCCUGAUCAACGUUGAUCAGAGGAAUAGCCUCGACCCACUUGGUAAAAUAAUAUAUACCAACCAAAAUGUGCAUAUGACCUUUGGAUGAUUUAGGUCAAACUUCACCAAUUAAGUCUAACGUUCAGCCUCUGAAUGGCAAAGGGCUUAACAAUCGAGUGCAACUCACUUGUAGGAACAUGUUGAAUACCUUCAUGUUUUUGACUUAAAAUAAUCUAAACAUAUAAAAUAUGUCAAUCAAAACGAAAGAAAUAACUUCCUAUAACACAGAAGUAUUUCAUAAUUGAGUUUUCUUUGAAUAUCAGAAAGUCUGGUUAUCAGCCUUGUAUCAGAACUCGAUUUGUCGGAACUUAUAUACGCCUGGUCAAAUCAAUUCAGCUUGGUUAAUGCCUUCUGAAAAAGUCUUAACUCUUCAAAAAAAUAUGAUGAACUUAUUCAAAGUUCCCAUAAAAGUUACGAGAGUCAGAAAUAAGAACGUUAAAGGCAAAUGUUUGGGUGUAAAAUUAGAAAUAGGUAUAUCAAAGUCGUAUCACUCUUCUCCCCAUUUGUCAUCAAUCAAAAAGAAAUAAAAUAGACAAAGUAAAAACCAAAUUGAAUUUCAUUUCAUAGAAAAAGGCAUAAGGUACAGAAUCAGAAAUAAUAAAAACUUAAACUUAAGAAAAAUUUAAAAUUAAGGUUUUAAUGAGGGGUGGCAAUUUGGAUAACUUGGCAUGAAGCAUCCAUUAAAUUUUGUUGUUCGUUUCAAUUGGUUCCUUGAACAUCUCAUCUUGUUUGUCCAACCGAGUCCUUAAAACUUCAUUCUCUUGCUUCAACUCUUGCAGAGUCUUCAAAACUAGAGGAAUGAGUUCAGAACCAGAGCCCUCAACUUUUAUGGAUUGAUGUGUUCCAGAAGAUGUUGCAAUUGCAGUUUCUUGAGCAGCAACAGGACCUGCCACUUUCAGGUGCAAAGAGAAGAAGUGUUGGAGGAACCUUAUGAAGCAAAUAUACAAUAUUACUAGAGAACUUGGCAUGGAAGUUCCUUUGAGUAUCCUUUAAUUAAAGGAAUUCCAACUCCCUAGAAUUGAAAUCAAUUCGUCUUAUGAAGUUAUUACACAAAGUACGAACUUCAUAGAGGUUUGCAUUAAAGAUAAUAACUUCAGUGAAAAGGUUCAUUCUAACAACAUCCUCACUUUCAAACUGUAUGAAUAAUUCAUCCAAAACUGUGAGGCGAAUGUUGGUUUGAUGGGGGUUUGGUCAGAAUAAAUAUGAGGUGUUCUGUCAUGGACAACAAUGAUCACAACAUCUGACUCAAAACUCAGAAUUAUUAUAAUCUAAUUCUACAAUGAGAGCGUCAAAGUCAAAGUCAUGGGGCUCUUAGUGAGUGGUGUUCUCUGGUUGUUGGUUUUCAGAUUGAAUUGGUGAAGAAAGGUUUUCUAAUUGACUUAUUUGGUAUAGAUGGGAUAGUGGAAGUUGUGGUUGAGGUGUAAGUAUGAUAAUGGAUAUAAGGGGUUCAGAAAGUGAUGGUAUGGGAAAUGGAAUGGAAUCAUUUGGAUUAAUAGUUUAUGGAGCAAAAACAUUUGGUUCAACAGGAACUGUUUCAGAGAGAACUUGUUCAGAAAUAACUUGUUCAAACUGAGCAGUUUCAACAUGAAUAGUUAUGGAAGUUGUCUGACGAGGAUUGGUUAUAAAACCAAAAGUAUUUGGAUUUGGGGUAUGUGAAAGAAUAAUGGUAGAUGUAAAUGAUGAACUGUUAUCAACAGGUUGAAAUUGAGUUUCAAAAGGAACAGACUUACUUGAGACAAUUCCAGCAAAAGGAGUAGCAAUUGCAGGUAUGGGUUCUUCAGCAGGAGUGUCCAGAGUCCUCCUAGCAGAACUAGAAGUCUUAACCUUCUUAAAUGUUCCAUCAGAAUACUUCUUAGAACUCUUCAUCUUCCUUUAGAAAGAGUUUCAAAAGCUUUGUCCUGAGCACCUUCUUGAUAGCUAGCAAGGUAAUCUAUUAGAACAUUCAGAGGAUCUUGCUUUGGGAAGAUUGGAAAGUCUUCUAAAGGGAUCCUUAUGUUGGAGAUAGCUUCCUUUGGAACUUCAACAUGGUUGCUUGUCAAUUACGAUAUAAUGGUCAUGUUCUUCAGACUUAUGGCAUUGAACAUCUUUCUAACCUGAGGUUCUAACUCUUUUGUGAUCUGAGCUUUUCUUAGAGAGUUUAUCAACUUGCUUUCCAUCAGAAUAUUUGAUAUCAUUCUUCCAAGGGGAAUCCAAAACCUCUUCUUCUUGCUACCAUCUCUGGUUUCCAUCACCGUGUCCCUUAGGUAUUGAAAGAGAAGUGAAGGGAGAUUCAUUUUUUCCUAGUAGUAAUAUAGUAGGGAACAUAUUGUUGGUUAUCAUUGAUGUAGUUUGCAGAAUUCGUUUGCUUUCUGUGAUGAACACACCCAAGAAGAAUUAUGUCUCUCACGGGCGACGUAUAUUGGUUCCUUCUCGAGUUGUCAGCACCGGAGGUGUUCUUUUUUGUGUUACAGACCUUCCUCACAACAUUAUUUUCCUCGCCCUUAAUGUAGCAUUAUGCUCACGUCACUACCUUAACCAACAUCGUCAUCGAUCUUUGGGCAAAGGAUUCAUUGAAAUGUCUCUAUCUAAUAUCAUUAUGGAACUCUCCUGCAAACAUUUCCUGGUUAGGGUGGAUCACUUUGAUGGUCGUCUCAUUGAAGCGGAGAAGAUAUUCCCUUAAUGACUCUGAUGGACCCUAAUGGACCCUGAUGUAUGUUGAACAGAUCAAUGGUAGUUAGCUUAUGGUGCUUGCUUGUGGCGAAUUGAUGAAAUGAAAUUCCCCCAUUCUUUUUUUUUUAAAUCACUUGGAUAAUCUAUCAUAAUAUUACAUUUUAUAACAAAGAAAAACAUUAAGAUUUAAUUUAGUAAAAGCAAAAUUAUUUCAAAUUGAGUGUACAAUUAUUAGUUCAUGUUUCAAUUAUUUCAAUUAUGUUCUUUCUUUGUCGUUAAAUAUACUAAUUUCAAUUAUCUUAGACAAUGUUAAUUUUUCAAGAAAAGAGAAUUAUAGGCUAUAAGAAUUAAAUAUUACAACAUCAAAAAAAAAGCUACCAUCAAGCACAAAAAUAUAGUAAUCAUAAGCAUGGUACAAAAUUUCAUGUUGCAAAGGCAAAACGUUCGAACAACAUUUGAAAUCUACUACAGCUUAACUAUCGCUAAUCUGCCAUUUGCAAUUAACAUUUGAACUUAAUAAACAACAAAAUAAUAAACAAAAUGUUUUCAUUAAUGAGUCAAACUCUUAAACGAGAGACAGACAUUCGAAUUACAUUACUUGGAAUACAUCAAAUAACUUUUGCCACACGAGAGGUGUGCCUAAUCUAAGGUAUCCACACAUCACAAAAUGGAACAAAUAAACCACAAUCUCUAAGCUUUCUUUGGAGAUUUCCUGGCCUUGGAUGGAGAUUUAGGAGCAGGAGCAGAACUUUGAGUCUUCUUAGGCAAAAGCACAGGGUUAAUGUUAGGAAGAACACCACCAUGAGCAAUGGUAACACCAGCAAGCAAUUUUCCAAGCUCUUCAUCAUUCCUCACAGCCAACAACAAAUGUCUUAGUAACACCAGCAAGCAAUUUUCCAAGCUCUUCAUCAUUCCUCACAGCCAACAACAAAUGUCUUGGACUAAUCCUGUUCUUCUUGUUAUCACGUGCCGCAUUUCCAGCCAACUCAAGAACCUUCACACCAAAAAAUUCAAAAUUAGGUUUCAGAUUCAAAUUUACAAAAUUCCAACUCAGUAGCAAUGAAAAAACGAAACUGAAAAGGAAAGAUGAGUUAAUUUACCUCAGCAGCAAGAUACUCGAGAACAGCGGCUAGGUAAACAGGAGCACCAGUACCAACGCGCUGAGCAUAUCUACCUUUCUUCAAGAAACGGCCGACUCUUCCGACGGGAAAUUGAAGUCCAGCUCUGACGGAUCUUGUGACGGACUUCUUCCUUGGUCCUCCUCCUUUCCUUCCGGCAGCUCCCACCAUUUUGAAAUUCAAAAACUAGUUUCAAGCUGAUGAUUCGCUUUGUUGGUAAGAAAUGCUGCGAAUUGAAGAUGGUGAGAUAAGAUGGAAACAGGUGGUGGCAUGGUUUUAUACUUACAUGGUUUAUAAGAGGAUUUCGCUCUGAAAACAAAUCUACCGUUAGAUUAGAAACUAUAGCUUAUAUCUAUGGCUCACUAUCACUGACGUGGCGAUCCGUGUCUCCUUAAACUGACCAAUGAAAACAAAUUAGGCGGUCUGGACUUUUUUUUUUAAUUGAAUUUAGCUUUUUGCAAUUUUGUUUUAUUUUUGUAUAAAUUAGGGCGGAUUCUUUCUUGCAAUUUUUAAUUGAGAGGAUAAAUUUCUUUUGGGAUGCAACCGUCGAAUGUGAAUAUAAAUCACAUUUUAUUUUUUGUUUUUUAUAUGCAAUGUGUGUUAUUUAGAAAAUUAAUUUUUUUCUUAAUUAUUUUAUUCAAAUUUUAAUAAUUACCAUCAAUAAUAAUAAAUAUCUAUUGUUAUUUUUUUUUAUUGCUUUUAAGUGAAAGUGUCAAUAAUAGUUCACAUCCAAAUUUGCUUCAAGCUCCUUAAAUCAUUCGAUAAGUUCCUCUAUUACUACUAUCAACGUCACAACCAUAAGUCUUGUCUGAUUUUCAAUUAAUUUGAACUAACCUCGGGAUAUAAGACGCCACUGAAUUGUUGAACAACAUUUACAACAUUGUUCGGCAACAAAACUCGCACGCAAUAGAGAAAAGGUUGCUUCAUCUUAAAGAAAGCCUACACCGCGCGCCUCCGAGAGGGAACAUUGUGCAAGAAGUGAUGUUAAAAGAAGUCAAGUUGUCAUCCCUGAGUCUCUAGUGUCGAGAAGAGACAAAGCUUUGAAAUCUCAAAAUCAGCAUAAUAGUAGAUAUUGUCAAAGUCCUCCUCAAAUCCCCGAGGGAGCCUGAGGCGGACAUGCCCCUCCACAAAAUCAAAUAGAGAAACUGCCGCAAAAGAAUAUGUAGAAAUAUCCUCUAUGCACCCAUAAUUUGGAUAGCAAAAUACCAAAAUCAAUGGAGAAACCUCCCAAACUGGGCGAGUACAACGGGAAUGAGACUCAAACGAGCACAUGUAAUUCGUCAAUAAAUGGUUGAAUUACUUAUGUGUCGAUGAAGCCUCAAAGUAAACCUCAUAUCUCUAUCUGACACAAUACUGGAUGGAAUACCAUGCAAGCUAACAAUUUUCUCAAUAUACAACUCAACCAACUUCUGCAGAGUAUAAUUGAUCUUAAUCAGUAUGAAAUGAGUCGAUUUAGUCAGUAUGUCGACAAUAACCGGUAUGGAAUCACAUCCAUUCGUCGUCUUCGACAAACUUGUCACAAAAUCCAUGGAAAUGUUGUCCCACUUCCACUCAGGAAUACUCAACGGUUGCAUCAGACCCCACCACUUAUGAUGUUCAAUCUUCUACUUCUAACAAGUCAAACAAGCAUAAACAAACUCGACUACUUCCUUCUUCAUUCCAGGCCAUCAAAACAAUUUCUUCUAGUCUUGAUACAUUUUAGUAGCAUCGGGAUGAAUACUCAAACCACUUCCAUGACCUUCCUCAAUAACACUCUUCUUAAGCUCAGGUACUUCUGGUACACAAACCCUAUCUCUCAACCUCAUCACUUCAUUCUCGUCGAUUCUGAAGUCACCUCAUUUACCUUAAUUGAUUAACACAAGACGGUCAACCAAUCCCAAAUCAAUCUUCUGACUUUCUAUGAUCUAUUCAAGGAUACCACUAGUUAGCUUCAAGAUACCUAACUUUACAUUAUUAGGAGUAUCUUCACAAACCAAAGUCAGAUCCAUGAAUUGCUCAAUCGAGUUCAAAUCUUGCAACAUCAGCAUUGACAUAUACAACGACUUCCUACUCAAUGCAUCAACUAUAAUGUUUUCUUUAUCAAGAUGGUAACUCAAACCAAAAACAUAACCUUUCAGAAAUUCGAGCCAUCUCCUUUGCCUCGUAUUCAACUCUUUUUGAUCGAACAAGUACUUCAAACUCGUGUGAUCAUUGAACAUUCAUGUAUUAUGUAGAAAAGUACUCAGUGUCCCUAUCACUUUUAAAUACUUUGAUACUUUUGCUUAAUUGAUUUUCUACACCCGCUUUAUAAAUUUUAAAAGCAUUAAAUGCACCAUCUUUAUAAUUUAAAAGGUAUAUAAGUGUGAAUCUAGAACAAUCAUCGAUAAAGGUUAUGAAAUGCCGAUUUUCCCCAUGGGUUAUCAUGCCAUUAAAUUCACACAAAUCAAAAUGCAAAAGAUCAAAUUCAUUUGAUUUUCAUUCAACACUUUUGAAAAGCUUCUUGAUCAUUUUUUAUUUUACACAUAUUUCACAUUUAUUGAAAUCAUGAAUGUUAAAUGAGAUCAAUCAAGAUUUAAUUAGUCUAUUCAUAGUACUAAUAUCUGUUAGUUAUGUAUUUUUAUGAUUUGCAUCAAUUUUGUUAAAACUUGUAUCACAACAACAUGUUGAGCAAGAUGUCAUGACAUGUUGAUCAAACAUUUUUGCAUGUUUUGUUUUACUUUUUGGAAGACUUAUUUUAUCAUGAGAUAUCUGAAGAUUCUCUAAAUAUUUAGCUAUCAUAUCUAACUGUCCAAGAAGGUUUAUUUUCGGAAAUCUUGUUUCAUUUUCAGUUGUGCACUUGUUUCAUAAAAAGGGAUGUUGAAACAUUUUAAGGAAACGUUAGAUCAGAUUUGAUUUGAUUCUGCAGAAGGUUGUGCAAAAUUGAUGUCAAAACAUUUAAGAAACUAUUUGAUUUGAUUCUAUAGACAGAUGUCAAAACAUUUAGGGAGACAUUAGAUUUGAUUUGAUUUGUUUUGUUUAGGAUUUGAUGACUUUUUAUGCCUAAGCUCAUGCUUACCAAAGGUCAUUUAAAGAGCACGUUACUAAACCUAAUGAACAAAAAGAGAGAGUUGCGCUGGAAAUUAUUAUUGUUAGGGUUUAGUUGUCGUUGUUAUUUGUGAGUCAUUUUAGUAUCUCUUUGAUACUUGAAUUGGACUGAGUUUAUUGAGUUGUAAUUGUGAAUCACUCGUGAGCUUUUAAGCAAGAGUUAAUUAUAUUUCAUUGGAAGUGUGUCUUUUGUUCUUUGAUUGUUUUUAAGUUGUUAUCAUUGUUGUGUGAUUUAAGGGAAGUGCGAAGGGUCUAGUAUCUAGGAGAGUCUUAGAUAGAAAUUCCACGGCUAGUGAUUAGGUGAGAAGUUUGUAAAAUAAGAGGUUAUUUAUAACUUCAAACUACUACUAUUAUAGUGGAUUUCCUUUAUGGAUUGGAUGCCCCUAGAUGUAGGUGACGUUGCACCGAGUUGGGUUAAUAAUUGACCUGUGUUAUUUUCUUCCUGCUUUUUACACUAUUAUGUUUUCUUGUAUGACAUGUCCUGAACAUGGUAUCGUGACAUCGUAUAUAAUAUCUAUUAUCCGCAUAAUUGUUUCGGGUGUGACAUGUCCUAAACUUGGUGUCGUGACAUCAUAUACAAUAUUUGUUGUCUGCAUAGUUAUUUCUGGUGUGACAUAUCCUGAUCCCGGUGUGGUGACAUCGUAUACGAUAUUUGUUAUCUGCUUACUAUUAUUGUUGUGUGAAGUCCUGAUAUUAGUAUCGUGACAUCGCAUACGAUAUCUGCUAUGUGCGUACCAGAAUUUUCAAUUGGUAUCAGAGCAUACAUAUUACUCUGUUUCUGGGUGAGAUCCGAGGAAAAUAUUUUCUGGUACCAUGGAAGGAGGAUUUGUUAACAGACCACCCAUCUUAGAUGGCACCAACAAUGACUAUUGGAAGGCAUGUAUGAUGGAAUUCCUAAAAUCUAUGGAUAUCAAGACUUGGAAAGUUAUCGUCAAGGGUUGGGAACAUCCUGUUAUGAAGGAAAAAGAUGAGAAGGCUAUUACUAACUUGAAUCCUGGAGAGGACUGGUCUAAGGAAGGAGAUGAACUAGAUCUUGGAAACUCCAAAGUUUUGAAUGCUUUAUUCAAUGGAGUUGCCAAAAACAUAUUCAGGUUAAUAAACACAUGUACCGUGGCCAAAGAUGCAUGGGAAAUUCUCAGAACCAACCAUGAAGGCACAUCUAAAGUGAAGAUGUCUAGACUUCAGCUUCUCACUACCAGAUUAAAGAAUCUAAAUAUGAAAGAUGAUGAGAGUAUUCAUGAUUUUCACAUGAAUUUUCUUGAAAUUUCAAAUUCGUCUAGUGCCUUGGGAGAGAAGAUGUUAGAAGAAAAGCUGGUUAGAAAAAUUCUCAGGUCCCUACCUAAGAAAUUUGACAUGAAGGUCAUAACCAUUGAAGAAUCCCAAGACAUCAGCAACAUGAGAGUAAAUGAACUUGUUGGGUCACUCCAAACUUUUGAAUUGGGUAUUAGUGACAGAUCUGAAAAGAAAAACAAGAGCAUAACUUUUGUAUCCAACACUAAAGAUGAAGAGGACUAAUGUGACUUAGAUACUGAUGAGGGAAUGUAUAAUGCUAUUGUACUGCUUAAGAGACAAUUCAACAAUGUGCUGAAGGGAAUGGACAGGAAGUCGAGACCAAAUGUCAAGAACAUCUCAUCUGACAUCAGCAAGAAUAAUGAUUCCUAGAGAAAAGCAAGAACAAAAGAAAAGUCCAAUCAAGAAAAAGGUAUUCAAUGUCAUGAAUGUGAGGGUUUUGGUCACAUUAGAUCAGAAUGUCCCACGUAUCUCAAGAAAUAAAAGAAUGGCUUGCCUGUUUCUUCGUCUGAUGAUUCUGAAGGUGAAACGAUUAGAGAAAUAAUUGUAUAUUUCUUAUUGAUCAAAAGGUGAAUGAUUACAUGAACUUAUAGCUGAUUACAUGAGAGAAUUAUGAUAGAAUAUUCUCCAACAGCUAUAUUAGGAGGGCCUAAAUAUGGAGGAAAAUAAGGCUAGAAAAAGGAAAGAAAUAAUAGGUAAUUAAAUCAUAAUGCUAGCAAAUAAGCAUGAAAUAUCAAGUAAUUAAUUCCGAAUAGCCCCCCUUUAAGCUGGAGAAUGUAUGUUUAACAGUCCCAGCUUAGCAAAAAUAGUAGAAAAUGGUUGCGGUUCCAGCGGUUUGGUGAACAAGUCUACCAGUUGAUUGUUAAAAGUAAUUGGAAGUAAAUGAUAAAGGUCGGCUUGUAGUUGUUGACGGACAACGUGACAAUCAAUAUCAAUAUAUUUGGUUCGCUCAUGGAAUGUUGGAUUCAUAACAAUAAAAAACAUUAUAUAAUUUAAAAGAAGGAGAGAAUUCAAUUGUGCCAGAAAAAUUUGCUACAACAAUCGAUCCAUCGGGUAAAGAAACAUUAAUAGGAUUGAUUCUGCGAAAAGAAGUAAAGUAUUUCUUGGAAUGGGUAACAUGAUCAGUUGCCCCACUAUCAAGAAUCCAAUAAUCUUUUGCAGGAUCAAUUGUACCUGCCUCAAUGGAUGUAUUUUGAUGAUUCAUCGAGGAAUGGAGUGGAGCGGUGUGUGCAGUAUUGACAUUGUGGGCAGAUGCUGCAGUAGAUUUGGAAGAAUUUGGUAAUAAUGAGAGAAGUUGUUGAAUUGUCUCAGCACUCAAUUGUGGAAUGGAUGAAUCAUUUGUAGCAACAUUGGAAGAAGUUGGAAAGGAACUGUCAUUAGAGGAAGUAGUGUUAUUGACGGUCGAUUGAGUUUUUGGCUGGUACCCAGGUGGAAAUCCGUGUUUGAAGUAGCAAGUGUCAAUGGUAUGACCGAGACGUGUGCAAAAGGUGCAUUGUUUGGGUGGACCACGAACGCCAGACGAACUUCGACCUCGACCACGUCCUCCGUUGUUGUGAUCGCGACUUUGAAAGCGGUUACCAUUAUCAGAGGCAUUGUAAAGAAUUUUUGAACUUGGAAUAGCAAUAUUUGCAGGACUUGAUUCUUGUUGAAGAACCAAAGAAAAAACUUUGUUAAUGGAAGGCAGUGGAUCCAUGAGAAGAAUUUGAGAACGAACUGUGUUAUAAUUGUCACUUAAUCCUUUUAAGAAACAAAUAACCAAUUCGGAAUCACGUUGUUGUUUGAUGAUUUUGAAAGCGGCACAAUUGCAAGGUUGUGACAGGUACAAGAAGGAAGGGGACGAAGAUCUUCAAGAUCUUCCCAAGAAUUUUUCAUAAAAUUGAAAAAUUCUGAAAUUGAUCGUUCACCUUGUUUUGUGGAGUGAAUUUCUUGCAAAAGAUCAGAGAAGCGAAAGUGAUUUCCUUUGGUGAAUCGUUCUUUAUUCUUCCCAAAGAACCUUAGUGUUUUCGACGUAAGCGACACUUUGAGCAAUCGAAGGUGUGAGAGAUCGAGUUAUCCACGAGAUAACAAGACCAUUACACCGUUCCCAGGCAUCAAAAAGAGUAUCAAGUUCUAGUAAAGGAGGUAACUUUCCAUUGAUGAAUUGUAGUUUGUUCUUGGCAAGGAGGGCUCACUUCAUUCCACGACUCCAAGUAUGGUAGUUGUUGUUGUUUAAUUGUGGAGAGACCAAAACCAAUCCUGGAUUUUCACCAGGAUGAAUGUAAUAAGGUGAUGAGUGUGAUUGGGAGGAAUCUUUGAUGUGAUGAAUAGUUGAAUCAUUGUUUUCAUCAGAGGAAGAUGAAUAAUUUUCUUCAUCGGCCAUUGGGAAAAAAAGGGUGUUAAUUUCUUAUGAUAUCACUGAUAUCAUAUUAGAGAAAUAAUUGUAUAUUUCUUAUUGAUCAAAAGGUGAAUGAUUACAUGAACUUAUAGCUGAUUACAUGAGAGAAUUAUGAUAGAAUAUUCUCCAACAGCUAUAUUAGGAGGGCCUAAAUAAGAAAUAAUUGUAUAUUUCUUAUUGAUCAAAAGGUGAAUGAUUACAUGAACUUAUAGCUGAUUACAUGAGAGAAUUAUGAUAGAAUAUUCUCCAACAGCUAUAUUAGGAGGGCCUAAAUAGGGAGGAAAAUAAGGCUAGAAAAAGGAAAGAAAUAAUAGGUAAUUAAAUCCUAAGGCUAGCAAAUAAGAAGGAAAUAUCAAGUAAUUAAUUCCUAAUAGAAACUUAUGAUGAAACUGCUAAGCAUGUUACAGCUUUCACUGGUAGAUAUGAAUCCGAUGAAGAUUAUUAUGAUGAAUAUGUCUCUUAUGAAGAAUUGGUUGUUUCAUACAAAUAGCUUUGUGUCAAAAGUGAUGAGGUGUGUAAGACAAGAGAAUAGUAAAAGAGAUUCAUAGCUCAACUACAAGCUGAAAAAGAGAAACUUUUAUCUACUACAACUGAUCUUGAAAAUGAGGUAACUUUAUUGUCUUUUAAACUUGAAAACAUGACUAAAUUCAUAAGAAUGUUGAACAAUGAGUAUGAUAUGCUAGACAAAAUUCUUCAAUUUGGAAAAGAGACUGGAAACUUAAAAGGUAUAGGUUUUAAUUACCAAUAUCAAAAUAAACAAGGAAAAACCCAUAUGACAAAAUUUAUUCCUUCAGAAAGGAAGUAUGAGCCCAUGAUGUCUGACCAAAUGUUACAACAUCCUGCCAGACAUUAGGAAACUCAAACUAAAGUCAAGUUUUUGCCUUGUAAUGUCAUUAUUAUGGUAAAUAUGGACAUAUAAAGCCUUUCUGCUAUAGACUGCAUGGUUACCCAAAACAUCCAACACAUCUUAGGGCUAAUUAUGUAAUGAUUAAAACUAGAAAGGAGUGGAAACCUAAGGUUGUUCCUCAUGAAACUACUUGUUCUUCCACAUGCCUAAUUUCCAAGGAAGAUGAAGUCAAGUUGUGGUACCAGAAUCUUGGACAUUUGAAUCUCAAAGGAAUAUCUCUUGGUUACUCUACAAAUAAUAGAGCUUGCAGAGUAUUUAACUCCAGAACCAAGGGCGUGAUGGAAUCCAUUAAUGUUAUGGUUGAUGAUUCAAUUAUAAGGGAUUGAUGUCGAUGAAGAUGUUGGAACAUAAUCUCGGCAGACUGAUUCUUCAGAAAAGGUGGAAAACAUUUAGUCAAACAUUGAGCCAACAAGGAAUGAAUCAGACGCUUCUGCUGACAUCUGAGCUGCUUUUUUUAUGUUUGAUUUUGCAUGUUUUUUGUGGAUCUUUUCCCUGAGUAUUGCACCUUUGUAUGCCAUGGUAUGUACCUCUAACUCACAUGUUCUGCUACUGAUUUACUAUAUUAUUUUAUUGCCAUUGAUGAAUUUUUGCUUGUUUUGUCAUAUUUUGGCUAAAAGGAGGGAGUAGAUGGUGAAGAGGUGUGCUAGUUGUGCUCUUGAUUUAUUUUAUGCUCUAUGUGAAGGUUGUUUCUUUGAGGGGAAGUAUGUUUCCUGUGUGUCAGGGGGGGUUAUUUAUGUAUUGUUGAUCAUGACAUUCAGGGGGAUUUGAUUUGUUUGCACCAAAGUUGUUGUGUACUUGUUGUGAUGUCAGACAUAAUGUCUUGACAUUUUACUUCAUAGAAUUCUAUUUGUGCUUAGACUGUUGUGUACUUGUUGUGAUGUCAGAUAGAAUAUCCUAACAUUUGUUUCAGAGAAUUUUGUUUGUGUCUAGGUUGUUGUGUGGUUGUUGUGAUGCCAGACAUAAUAUCUUGACAUUUUGUUUCUGAAUGAGGCUUGGAGUGUAAGAGUUUAUUUCUCUCUAUGUAUUUUUUGUGAGGGUGGGUUUCUAUUACUUAUUUUUGUUGCGUGCACCUCUGAUAUGUCUUGGUGUUAUACCAAGUGUUUGGUCUUUGUGCUUGUGAUUAUUGUUGUUGUUUUAUCUUUUCUUCAGCUAUAUGAUGCAAAGGUUGUUUUGUCCAAAAUUUGCGAAAAUGGAAGAUUGUUAGUUAUGUGUUAUUAUGAUUGGCAGCAAUUUUGUUAAAACUUGUAUCACAACAAUAUGUUGAGCAAAAUGUCGUGACAUGUUGAUCAGACAUCUUUUCAUGUUUUGCUUUACUUCUUGGAAGACUUAUUUUAUUAUGAGAUAGCUGAAGAUUCUCGGAAUAUUUUAUAUCAUAUCUGACUGUCCAAUAAGGUUUAUUUUAGGAACUCUUGUUUCGUUUCUAGCUAUGCACUUGUUUCAUAAAAAGAGAUGUUGAGACAUUUUAAGGAAACAUUAGAUCAUAUUUGAUUUAAUUCUGCAGAAGAUUGUGCAGAAUGGAUGUCGAAACAUUUGAUUUAAUUCUGCAGGCAGAUGUCAAAAUAUUUACGGAGACAUCAGAUUUGAUUCUGCAGAUAAAUUUCAAAAUAUUUAAGGAGACAUCAAAUUUGAUUUGAUUUGUUUUAUUUUGGAUAUGCCGAUUUUUUAUGCUUAAGCUCAUGCUUACAAAGGCUAUUUAAAGAGGACGUUACUAAACCUAAUGAACAAAAAGACAUUCUAUUGUUAGGGUUUAGUUGUCGUUGUUAUUUGUGUGUCAUUCUAGUAUCUCUUUGAUACUUGAAUUGGAUUGAGUUUAUUGAGUUGUAAUUAUGAAUUACUCAUGAGUUUUUAAGCAAGAGUGCAUUUUGUUUCAUUGGAAGUGUGUCUUAUGUUCUUUGAUUGUUUUUCAGUUGUUACCACUGUUGUAUGAUUGAAGGGAAGUGAGAAGGGUCUUAUAUAUAUUAGAGAGUCUUAGAUAGAAAUUCCACGGGUAGUGAUUAGGUGAGAAAUUUGUAAAACUAAAGGUUGUUUAUAACUUCAAACUAAUACUGUUAUAGUGGAUUUUCUUCCUGGUUUGGAUGCCCUUAGAUGUAGGUGACGUUGCACCGAACUGAGUUAACAAUUGACUUGUGUUAUUUUUUUCCUGCUUUUUACACUGUUAUUGUUUCUGAUGUGACAUGUCUUGAACUUGGUGUCGUGACAUCGUAUACAACAUCUGUUAUCUGGAUAAUUGUUUUUGGUGCUACAUGUCCUGAAUCUGGUGUCGCGACAUCGUAUAAAACAUAUGUUAUCUGCAUAAUUGUUACUUGGGUGACAUGUCUUGAUCCUGGUGUCGUGACAUCGUAUACGAUAUCUAUUAUCUGCUUACUAUUAUUGUUGUGUGAACUCAUGAUAUUAGUGUCGUGACAUUGCAUACGACAUCUAAAAUUUGCGUACCAGAAUUUUCAAUAUCAAUGUGUUAAUCUAGAAUGCCAUAAAAAAAUAGAUUCAAGCAUAUAAAAAGAAUUAUAAAUUUCAUUAAUAAUAUUGUCAGAUGCACAAAGCUUGAUCAUUCAUUCAACGGAAUAUCACAUUCCUACAAAUAAAUCAUUUUAAAAUAUAUUAGUUUGCCCAAUUCAUAUACUCCGAGGUUCAUAUUCAAGUCCCCACUAACAAGGUUCCUAUUCAUGUCAAGAACAUGAAUCACAUUAACAAGAGUGACUUUCUUUCCGGAAGUGAAUUUGAUUUCAAUGGAUCUUGUACCAACGACUCUAGAUCUUACUUCAUUUAUCAUCUGUACUUCUUAUCCACCAUUAAUUUCAAAAUAUAUUUUAAAUACUACUUUAUCAUAAGAUACAUGCAUGAUUGCACAUGUAUCAUACCACUAUCCUUGCACUUUGUCUUAAAUUAUCAUAAUUUUGCUCACCAUAUGAUCAUGUCUUCAUCAGUAUGAACAUCAUUAACUCCGAUUUUAGGUUUAUUACAUCUACAACAUAAUGGUCUAAUUUGCCCCCUACAAAGCGGUCUUUUUUUUUCCUUUGACCUGCUAGAAUAUAUUACUAAUAAAAUGACAACUCCUUAACAUUAUAACAUGUGAGAUAAAAGUAUAAAAAAAUAUUAUUACCUUCUCACAAAUAAAUUAAAACAGUAUUUUGUAUGUAAGUUAUUUCGUAACAAUUCUGAAAUAUUGUGAUGAUAGAACUUUCUAACAAAUCUAAAAUCUCAUCCCAAACAAAUAACCAUCCGAUCAACAGUUGAAAUACACUACAACCUAAAACUACUGAUAAACUGUCCUAAAAGUAAAAGUACUAAAACUUAUUAAACAACGGGAAUAAGUAAAAACAAAGCGAUUCCAUUAACUAAUCAAACUCACAAAAGAGAUGAAGACAUUCGAAUCACAUUGCUUGUAGAAUAAUUCUUGCCACAUGAGAGGUGUGUCAAAUCUAACGUAUCUACGUAUAACAAAAAGAACAAAUAAAAAUUAAUAUCUAAGCUUUCUUUGGAGAUUUCCUGGCCUUGGAUGGAGAUUUAGGAGCAGUAGCAGCACUUUGAGUCUUCUUAGGCAAAAGCACAGGGUUAAUGUUAGGAAGAACACCACCAUGAGCAAUGGUAACACCAGCAAGCAAUUUUCCAAGCUCUUCAUCAUUCCUCACAGCCAACAACAAAUGUAGUAACACCAGCAAGCAAUUUUCCAAGCUCUUCAUCAUUCCUCACAGCCAACAACAAAUGUCUUGGACUAAUCCUGUUCUUCUUGUUAUCACGUGCCGCAUUUCCAGCCAACUCAAGAACCUUCACACAAACAAAUUUCAAAAUUAUGGUUCAGUUCAAUUUACAAAAUUCCAACUCAGUAGCAGUUAAAAAAUGAAACUGAGGAUGGAAAAAGGAAUUAAUUUACCUCAGCAGCAAGAUACUCAAGAACAGCGGCUAGGUAAACAGGAGCGCCGGUACCAACACGCUGAGCGUAUCUACCUUUCUUCAAGAAACGGCCGAUUCUUCCGACAGGAAAUUGAAGUCCAGCUCUGACGGAUCUUGUCACCGAUUUCUUCCUUGGUCCUCCUCCUUUCCUUCCUCCCGCACCUUUCUUCACCUUUGUGCUUGCGUCCAUUUUGAAAUUCGAACACUAGAUUCUAGAUGUUGAUUCGAUUUUUUUGUAAGAAAUGCUUAGAAUUGGAGAUGGUGAGAUAAAAUUAUGAUAGGUGUUGGCAAGCUUUAUACUUCUACGGUAACUAUAAGGAUUUUGCUCAGAAAAACAAAUCCAUUAGAAACAUUAUUUCAGAUCUAUGGCUCUUUGUCCCUUACCUGGCGAUCCGUGUCUCCUAAAACUGACCAAUGGGAAUUCAAAACCAAUCAGACGGUCUCACCUUUUUCUUAUUGAAUUUGGCUUUAUGCAAUUUUGUUUUAUUUUUUAUAAAAUUGGAUGAUUCUUUCUUUUUUUUAUAUAUAUAUAUAUAUCAAUUGGAUGACUCUCACAUUUAAAGCAAUUUUACUACUAUAUUCUUUAUCAAAUUUGUUAAUAUAUAUAAUUUUACCAUGAAUUUUGAGUCUUUAAUAAAAUUUUAGAAAAUUACAUUUUUUUCCCGCAACAAAGUUAAAAGUAGCAUAAAUUUUGGAAUUUUUGGUAUAAACAUAUUGUAAUUUUUUUAAUUUCCGAUAGAGACACGGAAGAUUUUAUCGGAAAUUAUAAAAUUACAUUUAUAUUUAUUGGAAAUUGUAAAAUUUCUGAGAAUUAUUACAACAUUUUGGAAAAACAAUCUAAUAAAAUCAGUUUAUGUCAUUAAAAAAAAUGAAUUUCGUUUUACGUAAAGAAAACAUUCACACUUGGUAUACGUUAUACCAAAUUAGUGUAAGUCAGAAUUCUCACUCACAUUUGAUAUACGAUUAUACCAAGUUAGUGUAAGUCAGAAUUCUCACUUUAAAUCAUGUUUGAAAUUGAAUAUGGAUAUCUUUCAAUUUUUCAAACACUCUAAGCGAAUUAUUGAGAAGAAAAGGGGAAAUGAAUUAAGUGGUGAUUAUAAGUCCUCAAAUAAGCUUGCAAAGUUAAAAUGUAAGUUGUCGUCAAUCCUAAUACAAAUGGAAAAAAAUACACACACAGAGAGUAUUUGGUCAUUUUUAAAUAUUAGCUUACCUUAUUCUUAGCUUUAAGAAUAUCAAAGAGAAAUGAAUCUCACUCUUUAUGAUAAUAUGUCACCAUGAGGGAACUUGAAAAGUAUCAUUUGACAUUGCUUCAACUUUCUUUAGUUGUAGUUGUAGAAAAUUUGAAAUAUUUGGCAAUCUUUGUUCACAUGUAUUGAAAGUGUUUGAAAUGAACGAUGUUACAUUUAUUCUUGAGAAGUAUAUUUUUAGAAGGUGGACAAGAGAUGUUCGUUGCGGCAUUAUCCAAGAAUGUAAGAGAAAAGAAAUUGAAGGAGAUCCAAAGCAUCUUCAACACAAAAACAUUGACAAAUUGUCUCUAAAUUCAUUAGAGUGGUGACCAAUGCAUCACCCAACAAUGAACAUCUCGAGUUUGUAGAUGAUAUUGUAGAAAUCACGUGUAAGAAAAUCAUGGAACUUCGCAUACAACCCAAGAAUAAUCCAAGAAUAAUGACACUCAUAAUAGUGAUAAUCUAACAAUUCAAUGUCAUGAUGUUAUGCAAUCAAAGGAAUUCAAGAAACAAUAUCGAGAUGCAACUUACUACAAAAAAAAAAGUACGGUCGAGUAUAUCAGGUAUUUAAGUCGAUGUUUAGAUCAUUGAUUUAGUUUUACAUGUAUUAUCAUUGAUUUUAAUUUUACCUAAUCAUUCUAGGAAAAACAUUAACAAGUCAAAUGAUUGAAUAAGUAUCUUAUUAGGCAUUUCUACCUUAUGAGCCUCCACAAUUACAAGAGGAUAAAUUUAGCUUCACAACAUUUUUUGGUAAUUUAAUUUGUAUUUGAAAAAGAAUUAUCCGUAUAAAUUUUAUCUUGAUGUUAAUUAAAUUUUGUUAUCAUGUAGGCACUCCUAAAUGAAACUGAUAUUGCAACAUUAUCGUGAUUGAAGCUAAUUAAUCACCAAGUCAUACUUUUGUUAUAUCAAUGAUGUUUAGUACAGUGUCUAUUACUUGGUGAAUUGAGAAUUGAGAGUUGAGAAUACAAACAAGUUUCUACAUAAUACAAACAAGUUUCUGCAUGAUACAACUUCCUUCUUAAUACUAGCAUGACAGUUCAAUAAAUAUAAGUAAUUUUCGGUAUGAUCUCAUGAAUGAUUACUACGAAUGAUAUUUCAAGAUAUAAUAACAUUACUAUUCGCAAAAAUAUUGGACGCCGAAUAAUAACAUUACUAAUCAAACUCACAAAAGAGACGAAGACAUUCGAAUUACAUUGCUUGUUAUACAUUGAGUAAUUCUUGCCACAUGAGAGGUGUGCCAAAUCUAACGUAUCCACAAAUAACAAAAAGAACAAAUAAAACCUAAUAUCUAAGCUUUCUUUGGAGAUUUCCUGGCCUUUGAUGGAGACUUGGGAGUUGUAGAAGCACUUUGAGUCUUCUUAGGCAAAAGCACAGGGUUAAUGUUAGGAAGAACACCACCAUGAGCAAUGGUAACACCAGCAAGCAAUUUCCAAGCUCUUCAUCAUUCCUCACAGCCAACAACAAAUGUCUUGGACUAAUCCUGUUCUUCUUGUUAUCACGUGCGCAUUUCCAGCCAAUCAAGAAACCUUCACGCAAACAAAUUUCAAAAUUAGGGUUCAGAUUCAAUUUACAAAGUUCAAACUCUAUAGUAGCAAUGAAAAAAUGAAACUGAAGAUUGAAAGAGGAGUUAAUUUACCUCAGCAGCAAGAUACUCGAGAACAGCGGCUAGGUAAACAGGAGCACCGGUACCAACACGCUGAGCGUAUCUACCUUUCUUCAAGAAACGGCCGAUUCUUCCGACGGGGAAUUGAAGUCCGGCUUUGACGGAUCUUGUGACGGACUUCUUCCUUGGUCCUCCUCCUUUCCUUCCAGCAGCUCCCACCAUUUUGAAAUUCAAAAACUAGAUUCAAGCUGUUGAUUUUGAAAAAUGGAGAUGGUGCGAUGAAAAUGGUGGUGGUGUGGGCAAUGUUUUAUACUUGCACGGUGAUUAUAAGGAUCUUGCUCGGAA